rnacentral:rRNA from 1 species
CACGUAGGGGGCAAGCGUUGUCCCGGAUUUAUUGGGCGUAAAGAGCUCGUAGGUGGCUUAGUAAGUCGGGUGUGAAACCUCCAGGCUCAACCUGGAGACGCCACCCGAUACUGCUAUAGCUUGAGUCCGGUAGGGGAGCGUGGAAUUCCUGGUGUAGCGGUGAAAUGCGCAGAUAUCAGGAGGAACACCAGCGGCGAAGGCGGCGCUCUGGGCCGGUACUGACACUGAGGAGCGAAAGCGUGGGGAGCAAACAGG